UUGUAACAUAUAAUCUUUGAUUUGGCAUUCCCGUGUUUUCCUUUUGUGAAUGCCUCAUCUUUCUUCCUGUUAUAUAAUAUAAUUAAUACGUUAUUUAUUACUCAUAAAUAGGUAAAUGCACAUCACAUACUUUCGUAGAACACAAGGAACAGGACCAAGGUUCUCCCUUGUAGCAUAAAGGAUUCUCUGCACUUCGAAUAUGAAGCCCUUAAUCUUGUCUGACUCCGCGUAUCUUGAGGAUGUAGCGCUGAGCAAAUACGAGCGAGUAAAGUUUUGGUAGUAUUAUAUUCUUAUUAAACUCUCUGCCAUUUCUAUUACCGGAGUAACUUUGUGACAAUCAUAAAAUAAAUGUGAAGGAGUCUCAACCUCUUAUUAAGGUAGCUCAUUUGUGAACAAAGAGAAUGUUGACAUUCCGUGACGAAGGCAUUUUUGGUGGGAGUCCCUUAAAUGGUUUUUCAAAAUAAUUAUAGGGUCAAUUAUUGUUGUUCCGGUUUAAUCUUUUUAUUCUUUUCUUAACUAUAAGUGAUGGGACCUCAACAUUGGAGCAAUUUGUCCUUGGCGUUUCGAUUUUGUAAUUCGAAAGAACUUCUAAUACCAUGAAGAGUGUUGUGGGAGAACCAAGAUAAACUGACCUGUUAGUGACAUUAAAUAACAACCUACUUCUCCUUAUUAAUAAAAUAAAAUUAUUUAUCAUGGUUUGCUCCCUGGAUAAUAGAUGCUCAGUGAAGGUUCGUUGGAUUUUAAAAGAGGGAGAACUCCAUUUAUAAUAUAUUCCCAGGAAAAGCUCGUCCUCCUCCAGUAUAUCCCAGGCUUCUCCAUAAUGUUUAGUAACUCCGAUGGUUCCAUACAACAAAGGAAUUACCCUCAUCACAUACAACUGUUAGUAUAGAACUAAGCUCUGUUUGUUCUUGGAUAUGAAUAAGAUAUGUGUUUGAAAAUAAGUCAUUUGAUUCACUGAAAGAAAAAAAUAAUGCCCUUGUUUCAUCAUCAUUCAUAAUUUCCAUUUAUAGUUUAACAGCGAAGACACAAGAUAGACAUACUAUAUCAGAAGAUAAAAAAUUGGUGGCAAAUCACUGGACUUUAGUAACUUAUGACAUUCUUCGCAUUUUGUGACUUUUAUAAUCUUACUAUACAUCCGGAUAUAUAAAAGGCGACUCCUUUAACAUCGUGGAAAAUAGUGUCGUUAAUGUCAAUAUUCGGAAGGGCUUGAUUCACAAUUUUUGAAAAUUGAUUCGGAUCUUCAGCUUUAACAGAAGAACAUUUUAGUUCUUUUAUAAACAUUUUAGAAAAUGAAGAAAGACUCAAAAGUCUAUUUUUUUUUUUUUUUAGCUUCUAAUAAUUGCUUUAUUGAAAUAUAAUAAUUUGCUCCUCCAAGUUGGCGAUAUGUA
rnacentral:lncRNA from 1 species